CAGAGUUGCACUGAGACUGAAAAGUUUGUAUACCAUUGUGUUUUGAACAAGGAUGGAACAAAAUAUUUAGAGGUCUGUGCUCAAUCCUGGUUUAUGUCAGGGUUUUGUGCAAGAUUCAGUGUAGCAGAAGGGAGAAUAAUUAAUGACCCAGGGUUGGACUGUACAAAAUUCUCCACACCGUGUCCUUCAAGAUUUCUGUCAAAUGAAUCCUUUAAAUAUCAAGGAUGCUAUGAUUAUCUUCAACAGUCUACACCAUCAAAAAUCAUUGAGAAGAAAA